ensembl:lncRNA
AUGGGAUUUGCUGCUGGGCUCCCACUUCUCCCAGCACUGAGUGUCCCAGCUUUUCCCUCCUGCUGUUCCCUGUCCUGUAUCCCAGCUUUUCUGUCCUGCUGUUCUCUAUCCUGUGUCCCAGGUUUCCGUCCUGCUGUUCCUUCUAUCCCAUAUCCCAGGUUUUCUGUCCUGCUCUUCCCUCUGUAUCCCAGCUUUUCCCUCCUGCUCUUCCCUCUAUCCCAUAUCCCAGUUUUUUCCCUUCUGCUGCUCCUCUACUCUUCCCUCUGUAUCCCAGCUUUUCCCUCCUACUGUUCCUUCUACCCCGUAUCCCAGUUUUUUCCCUUAUUAGGGAAUAAGGGCUUGGAAAUGGGAUUUGCUGCUGGGCUCCCACUUCUCCCAGCACUGAGUGUCCCAGCUUUUCCCUCCUGCUGUUCCCUGUCCUGUAUCCCAGCUUUUCUGUCCUGCUGUUCUCUAUCCUGUGUCCCAGCUUUUCCCUCCUGCUGUUCCCUCUAUCCCAUAUCCCAGAUUUUUCCCCUCCUGCUGCUCCCCUAUCCUGUGUCCCAGCUUUUCCACCCUGCUGUUCCCUCUGUCCCAUAUCCCAGGUUUUCCCUCCUGCUGCCCCUCUCUGUCCCACAAGGGCAGGGGUUGCUGGUUUUUGGGCUCAGGAGGAUCCCAAGUCCAGGCUGGGUCUGGAAUCCCAAAUCAGGGUUUCCACAGUUCCAUGUACACACCAGGACAAAGGAAUUCCCCGUGGUGGCUCAGCAGCACAAAAUAAGGAAAGGACAGACUCCCCUGGGACCCACUGGAAUUAGGGCCCAGGGGUGGAGAGGAGCACGGGCUGUGACCACCACUAAAAAUGCAUUUGCCCAAAAAAAUCAUAAAAUAGCACCAAAAAACCUUUGUGUGGAAUCCCAGAGCGGUCUGGGUUGAAAAGGGCCUUAAACCAUUCCAACCCCAGCACCUUCCACUAUCCCAGGCUGCUCCAGCCUGGCCUGGGACACUCCCAGGGAUCCACAGCUCCUCUGGGAAUUCCAGCCCAGCCAGGAAUUCCUUCCCAAUAUCCCAUCCAACCCCAUCUGGCAGUUCAAGGCCAUUGCACCUGCAAUGGGAGAGAAAAACCCAAAGACAAAUUCACCGCGAUCCCCACCAACAAUCUGAGCCCAAACUGGCAGGGAAUGGAGGAUGGGAUGGAGAGCCUUGGGCCGUGGAGACACCUAAACCCAGCUGCUUGGGAAAGAUUUACUUCCCGAGGUUCUGUCAGAGCCGGGCUGGGGCUGGUUGGGAAGUUUGCAGGUGAUUCACUUCCUUUUCACAGCCAUAAAUUCUCCCCCGUGGGGAAAUGCAGCGACACCCCAUUUAUCAGGGAACGGCUCCAGCUCCCAAAUUCCCUGCCAGGGAUGGGAUGUGUUUUACAAGCAGCACUGCAGCAACCAGCAUCUUUCAAAAGCCAGGGGCAGGAGGGAAGGGGAUUUUCUGUGGCCAAGGUUUGGGAGCCAGGAGUUGUCAUGGCCGUAAUUCAGAUUAUCGUUUUAAAAAGAACUGAGGAGGUGGUGUUGGGGUCACUGUGGCACUGCCACACCCCCAAAACAUCAUCAAAAUCUUUCUGUGAGGGACAAUAAAUGCCAGAGCUCUGUGCUGGCUGCCCACGUGGACACAGCUCCCGCUAAUUAGCUCCUGCCAAUCAGCAGGAUGUGCCCUUUAAUGAGUGUCUGCCCUUCCCCUGCACACCCAGCGCCCACCUGCAGCCAGCACAGCUCUGCCACCAGUUUGGGGCCCACGUGGGGGAAUAAAGCACAAAAUUAUCUGGCAAAGGGCAGGGAAUACACAGGGGAUCCACAGGGGAUGUUGCAGGAAUUCUCAGGGGAUGUUGCAGGAAUCCACAGAGGAUGUUGCAGGAAUUCAUAGGGGAUGUUGCAGAAAUACACAGGGGAUGUUGCAGGAAUCCACAGGGGAUGUUGCAGGAAUUCUCAGGGGAUGUUGCAGGAAUCCACAGAGGAUGUUGCAGGAAUUCAUAGGGGAUGUUGCAGAAAUACACAGGGGAUGUUGCAGGAAUCCACAGGGGAUGUUGCAGGAAUUCUCAGGGGAUGUUGCAGGAAUCCACAGAGGAUGUUGCAGGAAUUCAUAGGGGAUGUUGCAGAAAUACACAGGGGAUGUUGCAGGAAUCCACAGGGGAUGUUGCAGGAAUUCUCAGGGGAUGUUGCAGGAAUCCACAGAGGAUGUUGCAGGAAUUCAUAGGGGAUGUUGCAGAAAUACACAGGGGAUGUUGCAGGAAUCCACAGGGGAUGUUGCAGGAAUUGGCAGGGGAUGUUGCAGGAAUCCACAGAGGAUGUUGCAGGAAUUCAUAGGGGAUGUUUCAGAAAUACACAGGGGAUGUUGCAGGAAUUCUCAGGGGAUAAUGCAGGAAUUCUCAGGGGAUAAUGCAGGAAUUCUCAGGUGUUGCUGCAGGAAUUCUCAGGGGAUGUCACAGGAACUAGCAGGAGAUGUUGCAGGAGUCCACAGGGGAUGUUGCAGGAACCCACAGCGGUUGUUGCAGGAAUUCACAGGGGAUGUUGCAGGAAUUCUCAGGGGAUGUUGCAGGAAUUCUCAGGGGAUAUCACAGGAAUUGGCAGGGGAUGUUGCAGGACCCCCCCCCCCCCCCCCCCCCCCCCCCCCCCCCCCCCCCCCCCCCCCCCCCCCCCCCCCCCCCCCCCCCCCCCCCCCCCCCCCCCCCCCCCCCCCCCCCCCCCCCCCCCCCCCC